rnacentral:rRNA from 1 species
AAUCAACGCUGGCGGCGUGCCUCAGACAUGCAAGUCGAACGAUUAAAGCUCUCUUCGGAGAGUGUAUAGAGUGGCGCACGGGUGAGUAACACGUAAGUAAUCUACCUUCGAGUGGGGAAUAACACCGAGAAAUCGGUGCUAAUACCGCAUAAUGCAGCGGCAUCGCAAGAUGACAGUUGUUAAAGAUUUAUCGCUUGAAGAGGAGCUUGCGGCAGAUUAGCUAGUUGGUAAGGUAAUGGCUUACCAAGGCUACGAUCUGUAACCGGUCUAAGAGGACGGUCGGUCACACUGACACUGAAUAACGGGUCAGACUCCUACGGGAGGCAGCAGUCGGGAAUUUUGGGCAAUGGGCGAAAGCCUGACCCAGCAACGCCGCGUGAAGGAUGAAGUAUUUCGGUAUGUAAACUUCGAAAGAAUGGGAAGAAUAAAUGACGGUACCAUUUAUAAGGUCCGGCUAACUACGUGCCAGCAGCCGCAGUAAC